rnacentral:rRNA from 1 species
CCUACGGGCGGCAGCAGUCGAGAAUCAUUCACAAUGGGCGAAACCCUGAUGGUGCGACGCCGCGUGGGGGAAUGAAGGUCUUCGGUUUGUAAACCCCUGUCAUGUGGGAGCAAAUUAAAAAGAUAGUACCACAAGAGGAAGAGACGGCUAACUCUGUGCCAGCAGCCGCGGUAAUACCGAGGUCUCAAGCGUUGUUCGGAAUCACUGGGCGUAAAGCGUGCGUAGGCUGUUUCGUAAGUCGUGUGUGAAAGGCGCGGGCUCAACCCGCGGACGGCACAUGAUACUGCGAGACUAGAGUAAUGGAGGGGGAACCGGAAUUCUAGGUGUAGCAGUGAAAUGCGUAGAUAUCGAGAGGAACACUCGUGGCGAAGGCGGGUUCCUGGACAUUAACUGACGCUGAGGCACGAAGGCCAGGGGAGCGAAAGGGAUUAGAUACCCUGGUAGUC